AGAGUUAAAUAGUACGUGAAAUUGUUGAAAGGGAAACGAUUGAAGCCAGUCGUACCGGCGGAUAAUCAGCCUUUAGAUGCGAUUUUGUGGAGCGUGAAGAGCUAAUCGCCUUCAUGCCUGUAUAUUCGUGUAUUUGGGGUGUACUUAUUCGUGUGGUAAGUUAACAUCAAUUUUGGUUGUCAUAAAAUGAUUGGAGGAAUGUAGCUUCGAUCUCGUAUUGAAGUGUUAUAGCCUUUGGUAGAUGUGACGAUCGGGAUUGAGGAUUGCAACGGAUACCCUUCGGGGCUACCUGUCUGAUCUCUGAUUGUUGCUCUGGUGCUGAAAGCUUGCUUAUGGUUAUCAAAGUCGAUGGUCAAUAGGUUAGAAUGGGUUAAAUUCGUUAAGGAUGUUGACGUAAUGGCUUUAAACGACC
rnacentral:rRNA from 1 species